GUAACAAGGUCUCCGUUGGUGAACCAGCGGAGGGAUCAUUACCGAGUUUACAACUCCCAAACCCCUGUGAACAUACCAAUUGUUGCCUCGGCGGAUCAGCCCGCUCCCGGUAAAACGGGACGGCCCGCCAGAGGACCCCUAAACUCUGUUUCUAUAUGUAACUUCUGAGUAAAACCAUAAAUAAAUCAAAACUUUCAACAACGGAUCUCUUGGUUCUGGCAUCGAUGAAGAACGCAGCAAAAUGCGAUAAGUAAUGUGAAUUGCAGAAUUCAGUGAAUCAUCGAAUCUUUGAACGCACAUUGCGCCCGCCAGUAUUCUGGCGGGCAUGCCUGUUCGAGCGUCAUUUCAACCCUCAAGCCCCCGGGUUUGGUGUUGGGGAUCGGCGAGCCCUUGCGGCAAGCCGGCCCCGAAAUCUAGUGGCGGUCUCGCUGCAGCUUCCAUUGCGUAGUAGUAAAACCCUCGCAACUGGUACGCGGCGCGGCCAAGCCGUUAAACCCCCAACUUCUGAAUGUUGACCUCGGAUCAGGUAGGAAUACCCGCUGAACCUAAGCAUAUC
rnacentral:misc_RNA from 1 species